GUGAAAUUGUUUAAAGGGAAGCGCUUGCAACCAGACUUGCGCGCUGUUGAUCAUCCGAGCUUUUGCCCGGUGCACUCGACAGCGUUCAGGCCAGCAUCGGUUUUGGUGGGCGGAUAAAGGCCUUGGGAAUGUAGCUUCUUUCGGGGAGUGUUAUAGCCCUCGGUGCAAUGCGCCCUACCGGGACCGAGGACCGCGCUUCGGCUAGGAUGCUGGCGUAAUGGUUGUAAGCGACCCGUCUUGAAACACGGACCAAGGAGUCUAACAUCUAUGCGAGUGUUUGGGUGUCAAACCCAUACGCGUAAUGAAAGUGAACGGAGGUGAGAACCCUUAAGGGUGCAUCAUCGACCGAUCCUGAUGUCUUCGGAUGGAUUUGAGUAAGAGCAUAGCUGUUGGGACCCGAAAGAUGGUGAACUAUGCCUGAAUAGGGUGAAGCCAGAGGAAACUCUGGUGGAGGCUCGCAGCGGUUCUGACGUGCAAAUCGAUCGUCAAAUUUGGGUAUAGGGGCGAAAGACUAAUCGAACCAUCUAGUAGCUGGUUCCUGCCGAAGUUUCCCUCAGGAUAGCAGUGUUUGAAUUUCAGUUUUAUGAGG
rnacentral:rRNA from 1 species